AUGAAGGCUCAGUUCCCGAUGUUCAAUAAGAGCAAUAGUGAAAACCAACCUGGUAGAGUUAUCGUCAAGGUUCAGAGAAGGCCGGAAUUAAAGUCGCAGAGACGUCCAAUAACCCAAAGGGACGAGGAAUACGCUAUGGAAAGGGCACAGAGGUUCCAAUCCAAGAGGCCCUUCGUGAUCAAGGAAAUAAAGCACACCGAUGUCUAUGUGUCGUACUUCAUGAUCAUUCCAGACAUGUUCGUUGAAAAAUUCCUCCCGAAAGAAAGCAGGAAGAUGACGCUGUGGGACCCACAGGCGAAGCCAUGGAAGGUGUGGUACGAGUACACCGGCGGGGAGUGUCCCCGUGCGGCGUUCAGCGCCGGGUGGGGUGCGCUCGCCAUGGAGAACUAUCUGGAAGAGAGGGACUUGUGUGUGUUCGAGCUCCUGGACGAUGACUACAACAUCAAGCUGCAUGUCUAUAGGGCCGUGCUGGAUAUCAGUCCCUUCGCCCUGGCCCCAAAAUAUCGUCAACAGGGUUGUGCAUAG
rnacentral:rRNA from 1 species